UACAGAGGGUGCAAGCGUUGUCCGGAAUCACUGGGCGUAAAGGGCGCGUAGGCGGCCCGAUAAGUAGGGGGUGAAAUCUUGCGGCUCAACCGCAAGGCUGCCUUCUAGACUGUCGGGCUUGAGCACAGUAGAGGCAGGUGGAAUUCCCGGUGUAGCGGUGGAAUGCGUAGAGAUCGGGAAGAACAUCGGUGGCGAAGGCGGCCUGCUGGGCUGUUGCUGGACGCUGAGGCGCGACAGCGUGGGGGAGCAAACAGG
rnacentral:rRNA from 1 species